CCAGCCUCUCGGGAGUACAUGGCCCGCCGGAGGUUCUUCCUCUCCAGCGCGGUCAGGUUCUCCUCCACGGUCUCCUGGAGCGGGAACCAACAGGGUCAACAUUUCGGGGUGGAGCAUGCAGCUAAGAGCCCCCGUCAGGUUGUGGACAGACGCGCGCCAUCUCUACCCAGAGAGCACACAGGACUUCCCCCCAGAGGCGGUUUGGAAAUGGCAGACUGCCACACGAUCGGCCAGCAUUACCCAGCGUCUCCCUACAGCGCAACGCCACCUGGUUCCUGCCAGGCGUCAUCGUCCAAAAGUGGCCGUGAGACCAGGCUGGGGUCCUCACCUCGAUGCAGAUGUGGUCCUCCAGGGCCCGGGGGGCAGCACCUUCCUGGUCGCACGGAGGCCCGUAGCUGUUCCACUCCUCCCUGGCCGGGUGCUUGCGGUUCACCAC